GUACUAAGCAUACGACAAGUAGGGCGGGACACGUGAAAUCCUGUCUGAAUAUGGGGGGACCAUCCUCCAAGGCUAAAUACUCCUGACUGACCGAUAGUGAACCAGUACCGUGAGGGAAAGGCGAAAAGAACCCCGGGAGGGGAGUGAAAUAGAUCCUGAAACCGUAUGCAUACAAACAGUGGGAGCCUCGUAAGGGGUGACUGCGUACCUUUUGUAUAAUGGGUCAGCGACUUACAUUCAGUAGCAAGGUUAACCGCAUAGGGGAGCCGUAGAGAAAUCGAGUCUUAAUAGGGCGUUUAGUUGCUGGGUGUAGACCCGAAACCGGGUGAUCUAUCCAUGAGCAGGUUGAAGGUUGGGUAACACUAACUGGAGGACCGAACCCACUAAUGUUGAAAAAUUAGGGGAUGACUUGUGGGUCGGAGUGAAAGGCUAAUCAAGCUCGGAGAUAUCUGGUUCUCCUCGAAAGCUAUUUAGGUAGCGCCUCGAGCGAAUACCAUUGGGGGUAGAGCACUGUUAAGGCUAGGGGGUCAUCCCGACUUACCAACCCUUUGCAAACUCCGAAUACCAAUGAGUACUACUCGGGAGACACACGACGGGUGCUAACGUCCGCCGUGAAAAGGGAAACAACCCAGACCACCAGCUAAGGUCCCAAAGUCAUGGUUAAGUGGAAAACGAUGUGGAAAGGCAUAGACAGCUAGGAGGUUGGCUUAGAAGCAGCCACCCUUUAAAGAAAGCGUAAUAGCUCACUAGUCGAGUCGGUCUGCGCGGAAGAUGUAACGGGGCUAAACCAUGCACCGAAGCUGUGGACUUGCACUAUGUGCAAGUGGUAGAGG
rnacentral:rRNA from 1 species